rnacentral:rRNA from 1 species
CUCGUGUCGUGAGAUGUUGGGUUAAGUCCCGCAACGAGCGCAACCCUUGUCGUUAGUUACUACCAUUAAGUUGAGGACUCUAGCGAGACUGCCUGGGUUAACCAGGAGGAAGGUGGGGAUGACGUCAAAUCAUCAUGCCCCUUAUGUGUAGGGCUACACACGUGCUACAAUGGCUGGUACAGAGAGAUGCAAUACCGCGAGGUGGAGCCAAACUUAAAAACCAGUCUCAGUUCGGAUUGUAGGCUGAAACUCGCCUACAUGAAGCUGGAGUUACUAGUAAUCGCGAAUCAGAAUGUCGCGGUGAAUACGUUCCCGGGUCU